rnacentral:tRNA from 1 species
AGCUAAAUAGUUUAUAUUAAAACAUUAAUUUUGUAAAUUAAAAAUAAAAUAAUUUUUUUAGCUU